UCCCGGUGAGGGACCCCCGGUGCGCGGCCCCCGCGGGGUGUCUGGCCGGGGGUGGGCGCGUUCCUUCCCCAUCCAGAGCCGAGCGAGGCCGUGGCGGGAUCAUGUGCUUUGGUUUGUAAAUGCCUAUCACUUUCACUUCUUCUGCCCUACCAUAAUUUUUGACAACUGGAUUCCUCUGCUGUGAUGUGCCAAUAUCCUGGAACCUGCAAUUUCCAUGUUUGCAACGAUUCAAGCCUACAUCUUUCCUACCAGUGCCAAAGACUGCAAAUUCACUGGCAACUUCUUUUCCAAUACAUGCUGGGCAUUAGCUUUAACCCUCGAAUAGGAAGGUGGUUUGAUUUCAAGCUCUUCUUCAACUGGCACCCUGGGAUUGUAUCCUGGGCUCUCAUUAAGCUUUCCUAUGCUGCCAAAGAACAGGAGCUGCAUGGUCGAGUGACAAACUCCAUGAUCCUUGUCAAUGUCCUUCAGACACUGGUUUCAGAAGACUGAAGAAGGCAGCUUUCAUCACACCAAGCAAAUUAGGGAAUACUUCUCCUGCCAAACUGAGAAAGUGGAGGUGGAAGUCUCUCUGCUGUGCUGCUGAUAUCCUGACAAACCACGAACAGGACAUCUACUGCCAUCAGAUCCCACGUUCUGUGAUGUGAACCUGUACCUGAGAACAUCAAGGUCACGAAGUAUCUACAGAACUUCAGUUCAGGAGCAGUGGGUCCUUGAGUUGGUCUCGCUUAUCUAGAGGCUGAGGCCUGCAGUGACCGCUAGUCUGCCACGUGGGAGAUUGGAGAGUGCUGGACGUGUCUGGCGAUCUUGCUUUUCUGAUGGACAUGGACACUGUCAUUGAAGUUUUUGCAUCAUAUCACAUCACUUCAUCUAAGGCAACCUGAGAGGAAAAACAAACAUUAGGAAGUGUAUGCAUGCAUCCUCCUCAUGUAUCUGUAAAUAUGGAAGAAGCUGCACAUUACCAAGAUGGGCACAAGCAGAGCGGUUAAUUUUUAUUUUUGUUUCUCCUGUGCACUAAUCCCAUGGAAAGCUCUUGGGCAAAUUGCAGGCAUGGAUGUGGAUAUAUACUAGCAGGCAAAAGGCUGAAACUUCAAAAAUCAGUGUAAACCAGAAGGUUCUAAACACAACUGGAACAGCAAUGACAAUCAGAGGUGUGGUCCAGCUGCAAACUCACAUCCUGCGUUGCCAUGGCUUUGGAGAGAACAGAGUUUUCCAAAGACUGAAAGGAUUUAUACUGCUUUCUAAAUGAGCCAACAGUCUAUCCAGGGCUGCUGUUGACAAUUCUCAAAAGUAAAAGUAGCUGUUAAAUCUUGAAUUAGUUUGAAGUCAGGCUCAUUAAAUUUGGAGAUGAGCUUCAAAGAUGUUUUCAAAAAGGAUGAGCUAGUGAGUCAAUUUUUAAUUACUUAGCAAGGAGGGGUUUUCAGGAGAGGUCAUCUUCACAACUAUGCAAGGCAAUAAAUAUAACACAUAUACAGCUGGGUUUGUUUUCAUGACAAACACACAGAAUUUCAAGGUAGUACAGAGAUAAAAAUUGGCUUACUUUGACCAUUAUUUAUGUAAGAUCUUGUCUUCCAGCACACAGACAAAAAAACCAUAAACAUAACAGUCUGUUCUUCUUAAAGGAAAUAAUCCAUGUAUUUACAUUCAAGCAAAAAUAACAAGACCUUCUGUUCAAAUCAUCUGAAAAAACUUCCUUACACUCCAAUCAUACAAAGACAUGCUUUGAUCAAAAUCUGGCACUUGUACAGCAAGUUCAACUGCUGGAUAAUUCUGCAGGUCAUUACUUGUAGCUCUCCUCACUCAUUCUCACAUUUAAUCUGGCUGCAUCCAUCCAAUGAAAGCAAAUCAAUAGCAACAAAGUGAUGUACUGAAAUUAUUCACGCCAGCGUAUUUUAUGGUACUGGGUGCAUUAGGUUACAGCUUGGAUGGGAAGUUUUUACCCCUGGCAGCUGCUCUCACCAACCUACUGUGGUUUCUAAGCAUUGUUGCCUGGAGAGGCUGCAAGAGCAGCGGCAUUAGAGCAGAUGCCCACACCACCUACGAUGAAUUUUGGGAGGCAGUUUCCUUCCCCCACCACCUUUAAGCAAUUCUUCCUUUUCUGCUAUGGGUAACUCAGAAGUCCUUUUUUAACAUGUGCAGAAGCUUUUUGUUUGUCCUUUUUGGUUGUUUGUUUGGGUUGGUUUUCUUUUAAGGCAAAUGUCUGUCCAAAUAUUGUCCCUUACGCAAAGUACUGCUUAUACGUCAUCUCUUCAGGGGAGUGAAACAGGAAGGGUUAAUCAAAACACUUUUACUGUAAACCCACAAGAGCCCCCCUUACCCCCUGUAUUUCGUUUACUGUAAGCUGUACUUUUACAGGAAGGCUAUGUCCUGUACUAAGGGCAUUAGACCUUAAAGGAACCACAACAAACACUAGACAAAGAACUCAACACACAUAAAUCUCAUCCAGAGGAGCCAAGGUAGACAUUUGAAUCGGUAAAGUAGGCCUAGAGCCAAGGGUUUCUUCAAGCCUGAACGGUUAGAACACGAGAACAAGGGAUAGAACAGAAGGUCCCCGAGGUCACCCGACGACGAGGAGUAGAUUUGCCACCCCAGGAUGAAGGCAAGACCAGAACUACCCUAAUUUAUUCCUCAAAAUAGAGACCAUGCCUCAAUCUCCACCCUGACUCCACCUGCUAUGAAUAUUGUAAUCUAAUAAUGCAAUAAUAUGAAUAUGCAUGUUGUAAUCAUGAUUAGAAACUGUAUGAAUUGCUUGUUUUUACUGAACUACUUUGGAGCUUUUUGUCCAGCCUGAGCUGGAAGCUAUCCCGAGGUCGCAAUAAAUACCUGCUCUUUAUGGGCUCAAAA